rnacentral:rRNA from 2 species
UUAAAUUGAAGAGUUUGAUCAUGGCUCAGAUUGAACGCUGGCGGCAGGCCUAACACAUGCAAGUCGAACGGUAACAGGAAGAAGCUUGCUUCUUUGCUGACGAGUGGCGGACGGGUGAGUAAUGUCUGGGAAACUGCCUGAUGGAGGGGGAUAACUACUGGAAACGGUAGCUAAUACCGCAUAACGUCGCAAGACCAAAGAGGGGGACCUUCGGGCCUCUUGCCAUCGGA